UACGUAGGGGGCAAGCGUUGUCCGGAAUCAUUGGGCGUAAAGAGCGUGUAGGCGGCCAGAUAAGUCCGCUGUGAAAUCUCGAGGCUCAACUUCGAGCUGUCGGUGGAAACUGUCUGGCUAGAGUCCGGAAGAGGAGAAUGGAAUUCCUGGUGUAGCGGUGAAAUGCGCAGAUAUCAGGAAGAACACCCGUGGCGAAGGCGGUUCCCUGGGACGGUACUGACGCUGAGACGCGAAAGCGUGGGGAGCGAACAGG
rnacentral:rRNA from 1 species